GCGAGGGUUGCCCAGCUAGGUCAAAGGCGCCAGACUUAAGAUCUGGCUUCGAAGGAAUUCGUGGGUUCGAAUCCCACCCUUCGCA
rnacentral:tRNA from 1 species